rnacentral:rRNA from 1 species
GACAGAGAUAGCUACUGGAAACGGUAGGUAAACUCGUGAUAAGCCCGAGAGGGGAAAGUGGAAGGCAGCCUUGGGAUGGACCUACUAUCCAUCAGGUAGUUGGUGAGGUAAAGGCUUACCAAGCCGAUGACGGAUAACCGGUGUGAGAGCAUGUACGGUCACAAGGGCACUGAGACACGGGCCCUACUCCUACGGGAGGCAGCAGUGGGGAAUAUUGGACAAUGGGCGAAAGCCUGAUCCAGCGACGCCGCGUGAAGGAAGAAGUCCUUCGGGAUGUAAACUUCUGAACUAAUCGAAUAAAAGGGUAGUGGACACACUACAGAAGAAGGUAGAUUAGGAAAAGUCCCGGCUAACUACGUGCCAGCAGCCGCGGUAAGACGUAGGGGGCGAGCGUUGCCCGGAAUCACUGGGUGUAAAGGGGACGUAGGCGGAUGAUCAAGUCAUCUGUGAAAAGAUUGCUCAACGAUUGGCUUGCGGAUGAAACUGGUCAUCUUGGGCGUAGCAGAGGUAGACGGAAUUACCUGAGUAGGGGUGAAAUCCGCAGAUACAGGUAAGAAGGCCGGUGAAGAAGUUGGUCUACUGGGCUACAGCUGACGCUGAGGUCCGAAAGCCAGGGGAGCGAACCGGAUUAGAUACCCGGGUAGUCCUGGCUGUAAACGAUGCUCACUAGGUGUAGGGAGCGAAAGACUCUCUGUGCUGAAGCGAACGCGCUAAGUGAGCCACCUGGGGAGUACGUCCGCAAGGAUGAAACUCAAAGGAAUGACGGGGGUCCGCACAAGCGGUGGAGCAUGUGGUUUAAUUCGAAGCUAACCGAAGAACCUUACCAGGGAUUGACAUGUAACUGAAGGU